CGGGGCGUAACUCAGCCCGGUAGAGUGCCAGUUUUGGGAACUGGACGUCGCAUGUUCGAAUCAUGUCGCCCCGA
rnacentral:tRNA from 2 species